UGCAUGAGCAGGGGCACCAAUCACCUCCCACCAACACAAGUAACACACAUGGAAUCACCUCUGAGAGAGCUUCCUGGAACUAUCACCUGAAAGGUGAAAGGAGUUCCAACAUGCUUCUAGAUAAGUGGCCAUUCUGCAUGUAGCUGUGAAGAUCAUGAGAUGACUAGUAAAAAGUGAAGUGAUCUCUACAGAACAGGAG